AUAAGUUUUUGUCGAAAGUGCGAGCUUUUUUUUUAGGAAAACGCGCCUUAUAGUUCUUUUGUGCAGACCUAUAAGUGUUAGCCUACAGAAGACGUGAGGGUCAUAUCGAAGUAUCUGGACAUAGAAAAUUACCAGUAGGGGCGUGGCUGUACCCCCUCCCCCGUUUUCUUAACGUCUAUGUGUCGUGCACCCGUUAUGGCUCUGUCAUGAAAAACAGAAAAUAGGAAAAUCCGCCAAAAGCAGGAAGUUCAAGCUGUUGCUAUAGAAACAAAAAAAUCCUUGAAAAAAGUCAUAAAACACCCAGUGGUCCGAAUCAUACAGGCAAUUUCGGGUCCUACAAGUGAAAUGUGUGUUUUAGAAAGUUUUGAUUAUACUAAAUUCAAGGAGUAAGAGUCAUUAAAGAAUGCCCUUUAAAAAAAAAUUGAUUCCCAUAGACGGCGUUUUGUCUUCUCAGGACUUUGUGUGUUCGAAGGUCCAUUGUCAGCGACGCCCCUUUUGUUACCGUUUCUCCCUCCCCUAUUUCAGUGGCACAGCUACCCUCGCACAAAAACACAAACCUGCGCAUCGCCAAACACUCUCGCAUGUUUUCUGAGUGCAGUAAAACUCGCCUAAAUACGAAAUUUCUCAGAAGGGGCAGCCAGCACUGUUGGUCCAGCAAAGCUGGCGCUAUUUGUACACCAUGUUGGGAGUUGCUACGAAGUUUCACCCAGCAUUUCCUUUGCCUUGUGGUCAACCAAGCGAGGAAUGAUGACCGAUUUUGAAGUUGGCGCGGGGCUUUAUAAGGGAGUUACAUUAUCGGAUAAUUAAAAUUGUCCGAGCAAGCAGCAAGCCACGACACAUCAAACAAACAAACAAGCAAGCAAGCAAACAAACAAACAAACAAAAGACACGGCAUCAAAUGAUUUUACUUUUUGGACGUUCGAUCUCAGCACAUUUCUACAAUAGAGCAACGCUUAAGAUUAGGCAAAAUACCAUUUAACAAUUCAUCGGUGUCAUUUCUUCGCGUGAGACAACAAAGAUAAUUUAAAAUUCUAAAUACUAGUAAACGGCAGGUACCCAGUCAUGCCACAGAAGCAACAAACAGAUGUUUCCAAGAUUUGAAUUACUUCUAGUAUGAAGAGGGCAUAUAAACUGAAAGGUUCAGGUUAGAUCUGGUACUUUUGCAACGUUCAAAUGCAUGAUCUUUGGCAAUCCUUGAGAGCUAGUCAUGAACCAAUCUACUUUACGCAGACAAAAGCGACCUAGCGCCACAAGGAGAGACACGCAGAGACUCACAAAGAAAUGACAUUUUUCAGACAACAAA